rnacentral:rRNA from 1 species
UCCAGAGGUGGCAAUCGUUGUUCGGAAUUACUGGGCGUAAAGGGCGCGUAGGCGGCCUGUUAAGUCCCGUGUGAAAUCCCUCGGCUCAACCGAGGAACUGCACGGGAAACUGGCGGGCUUGAGUUCGGGAGAGGGAAGCGGAAUUCCGGGUGUAGCGGUGAAAUGCGUAGAUAUCCGGAGGAACACCGGUGGCGAAGGCGGCUUCCUGGACCGACACUGACGCUGAGGCGCGAAAGCUAGGGGAGAAAACUGG